UUUGAUAAAAGAAUACAAGUAAACUUAAUGCGGAUGUGAAUCCCUCCCUGUUACUCAAAUCUGUUUUCAUCUCUUUUUUCUUGAAGUUAAAAACUUGCGGCACCAAACGUAGCCAUUAUCUUCGGUCUUCACUCUUCCAUUCCUUGCUAAUAAAGCCGCAGGUUAGUGAAGAAUCUGUUAAGUUUUCUACUUUUUGUUCUCAAAAAAAUUGACUUCGUAAGUCGGACCAGGGAAGACCGUAUCCGGGAAGUUCAUCUUCUUCUUCCCAUCCCCUGCUACUGAAACUCUGCAAUUUCAUUAUCUGCUACUACAGUUGAUCGAAUCUGACGAUAUUUCGAUCUGAAAUUCAAUGGGUUGAAUUGUAAAAUCUUGAAGCUGAUUAAAUUCAUAAAUCAGCGGAGAGUGAUUUUUUUUUUUUUUUUUUUUGUGGUUUGAAAAUUUUGGAGAAGAAAUGUAUCGAUUCUGAUCGAUCUAGUGGAAAUUUUGAAGAAGUUUAAACUGAUAAUUUGUUUGUUUGAUUAUCUAUGAUUGAAAUUUAUAAUCAAUUUGUUCGAUUA